rnacentral:rRNA from 1 species
ACUCCUACGGGAGGCAGCAGUGGGGAAUAUUGCACAAUGGGCGCAAGCCUGAUGCAGCCAUGCCGCGUGUAUGAAGAAGGCCUUCGGGUUGUAAAGUACUUUCAGCAGUGAGGAAGGUGGGUAUGUUAAUAGCAUACUCAUUUGACGUUAGCUGCAGAAGAAGCACCGGCUAACUCCGUGCCAGCAGCCGCGGUAAUACGGAGGGUGCGAGCGUUAAUCGGAAUUACUGGGCGUAAAGCGCAUGCAGGUGGUUUGUUAAGUCAGAUGUGAAAGCCCGGGGCUCAACCUCGGAAUUGCAUUUGAAACUGGCAAACUAGAGUACUGUAGAGGGGGGUAGAAUUUCAGGUGUAGCGGUGAAAUGCGUAGAGAUCUGAAGGAAUACCGGUGGCGAAGGCGGCCCCCUGGACAGAUACUGACACUCAGAUGCGAAAGCGUGGGGAGCAAACAGGAUUAGAUACCCUGGGAGGCGUAG